GGCGAACGCUGGCGGCGUGCUUAACACAUGCAAGUCGAACGGAAAGGCCCUGCUUUUGUGGGGUGCUCGAGUGGCGAACGGGUGAGUAACACGUGAGUAACCUGCCCUUGACUUUGGGAUAACUUCAGGAAACUGGGGCUAAUACCGGAUAGGAGCUCCUGCUGCAUGGUGGGGGCUGGAAAGUUUCGGCGGUUGGGGAUGGACUCGCGGCUUAUCAGCUUGUUGGUGGGGUAGUGGCUUACCAAGGCUUUGACGGGUAGCCGGCCUGAGAGGGUGACCGGCCACAUUGGGACUGAGAUACGGCCCAGACUCCUACGGGAGGCAGCAGUGGGGAAUAUUGCACAAUGGGCGGAAGCCUGAUGCAGCAACGCCGCGUGCGGGAUGACGGCCUUCGGGUUGUAAACCGCUUUCGCCUGUGACGAAGCGUGAGUGACGGUAAUGGGUAAAGAAGCACCGGCUAACUACGUG
rnacentral:rRNA from 1 species